rnacentral:rRNA from 1 species
CCGCGUGAGUGAUGAAGGCCUUAGGGUUGUAAAGCUCUUUUACCCGGGAUGAUAAUGACAGUACCGGGAGAAUAAGCCCCGGCUAACUCCGUGCCAGCAGCCGCGGUAAUACGGAGGGGGCUAGCGUUGUUCGGAAUUACUGGGCGUAAAGGGCACGUAGGCGGCUUUGUAAGUAAGAGGUGAAAGCCCGGAGCUCAACUCUGGAAUUGCCUUUUAUACUGCAUCGCUUGAAUCUGGGAGAGGUCAGUGGAAUUCCGAGUGUAGAGGUGAAAUUCGUAGAUAUUCGGAAGAACACCAGUGGCGAAGGCGGCUGACUGGACCUGUAUU